ACGAAGGGUGCUAGCGUUGUUCGGAAUCACUGGGCGUAAAGCGCGCGUAGGCGGCUAUGCAAGUCAGAGGUGAAAGCCCGGGGCUCAACCCCGGAAUUGCCUCUGAAACUGCAUAGCUGGAGUGUCGGAGGGGAUAGCGGAAUUCCUAAUGUAGAGGUGAAAUUCGUAGAUAUUAGGAGGAACACCGGUGGCGAAGGCGGCUAUCUGGACGACAACUGACGCUGAGGCGCGAAAGCGUGGGGAUCAAACAGGA
rnacentral:rRNA from 1 species